UACGUAGGGUGCGAGCGUUGUCCGGAAUUAUUGGGCGUAAAGAGCUCGUAGGCGGUUUGUCGCGUCGUCUGUGAAAUUCUGCAACUCAAUUGUAGGCGUGCAGGCGAUACGGGGCAGACUUGAGUACUACAGGGGAGACUGGAAUUCCUGGUGUAGCGGUGAAAUGCGCAGAUAUCAGGAGGAACACCGAUGGCGAAGGCAGGUCUCUGGGCAUUAACUGACGCUGAGGAGCGAAAGCAUGGGGAGCGAACAGG
rnacentral:rRNA from 1 species